rnacentral:rRNA from 1 species
UACGUAGGGGGCAAGCGUUGUCCGGAUUUAUUGGGCGUAAAGAGCUCGUAGGUGGUUCGGUAAGUCGGAUGUGAAAUCUCCAGGCUCAACCUGGAGGGGUCAUUCGAUACUGCCGUGACUAGAGUUCGGUAGGGGAGUGUGGAAUUCCUGGUGGAGCGGUGAAAUGCGCAGAUAUCAGGAGGGACACCCGUAGCGAAGGCGGCACUCUGGGCCGAUACUGACACUGAGGAGCGAAAGCGUGGGGAGCGAACAGG